UCUGAAUUCACGCCAACGUCAGGGAAAGGAUUCUGCUGUCGGUCCCACUCCAAAGUUCACAAAAUGGGUGGUGGGCACAGAAUCCAGACUCUGCUUGUGGCAUAUGUCGUCAGUUC
rnacentral:pre_miRNA from 1 species